AAAUCACAAAACAAGUCGACGAUAACUACAUGUAAGAUACUGU
rnacentral:guide_RNA from 1 species